rnacentral:sRNA from 1 species
AGGUCACAAGACAUCUCAAAAGCCUCACAAUACGAGUUAUACCAAUACAGGCUCACCAGAUUGUAAAUGGAGCGCCGCCGGCUUGCGGUUAGCUGCCUGCCUCUCAGACACGGCGCUUUGCCCAGCUUGACAGGGAGUGAGCCUCACCCACCCCAUCCUCCCAAUCCUCCUGAGCUCCCUCCUCCCAGGCUUCCCCUAAAGGGCCUGGACUGCGUCAUUUUCCCAGGAACUGCAGUGCCCAGCCCAGGACGUGGUACAGAGUAACUGUACAUUAAACUGGCAGAGCUCGUUAGUGGUAAAGGUGGUGAGUCCUUGGAUGUGCAGCAGAGCUGCUCUGGGGCCUCUGAGCAAGCAGCAGCCUCUGUCUCACCUCUUCCCGUCACUGGGAGGGCCCCUUGGGUCUCGCUGUGCCUGGGGGCCAGGCUCUCUGCUUUAUUCUUUCAUCCCUGAGGCUCCAUCGCUCAGCUCAGUGCUGACUCAGUCCAGAGGAUUCUUCCCUCAGGACUGCUGCUCUUGCAGUGAAUAAAGUUUUAUGUUCCCUGCUCUUAAUAUUAAAUAUUAGUGAAUGUGACGUGUUAUAUUUUUCUCUCUGGGGAGGAAGAGCUAAAUUACUUUUUACUUGCAUUGGCCCUCAAAUGAUUCUUAGCUAAGGAACAAAAUUCCUCUUCUUCUGGGCUAGAAUAUUUAGGACCACUAGAUAUGCAUGUCUCAGGACUUAAUUCAGCAUCAGAAAGGCUAACCAGGCUGACUAGUAGAGGUAAUACUGCCAAAUCCUAGAUAGUCACAGGUCACUAAAGCACAGAUAAAUGGCAGAGAGAAGUAGGAAAGAGGAAAGGGGACAGGAAAGGGACCUAUGUGUAUUGAGCACUAAUAUGUGCCACAUGUUUAACAGCCUUUAUUUUAGUUAAUUGUCUCCUGUCUCCCACCUGGAGAAGUAGGCCCCAUCAUCCUUAUCUUACAGAUGAGGCAACUGAGACUGGGAGAGGUCAAUUAACUUGCCCAGAGUCGUGUGGCUGGUUGGUGGCUAAGUUGGGACUUCUUGAGCUCUGGUCCCCUGAUCCAUCCAUCCUUCCUUCCUUCCUUCCUUCCUUUGGCAGAGCGUCCCUCUGUCACUCAGGCUGGAAUGCAGUGGUGCAAUCUCGGCUCACUGCAACCUCCACCUCCCAGGUUCAAGCAAUUCUCGUUCCUCAGACUCCCGAGUAGCGGGGAUUACAGGUGCGAGCCACCACACCUGGCUAAUUUUUCUUUCUUUUUUCUUUCUUUUUUUUUUUUUUUUACUCUGUUGCUCAGGCUGGAGUGCAGUGGCGCGAACUCAGCUUACUGCAACCUCUGCCUCCCAGGUUCAAGUGAUUCCCCUGUCUCAGCCUCCUGAAUAGGUGGGACAACAGGCACCCGUCACCAUGCCCAGCUAAUUUUUGUAUUUUUAGUAGAGACAGGUUUUCACCAUAUUGGUCAGGCUGGUCUUGAACUCCUGACCUGAGGCAAUCCAUCUGCCUCAGCCUCCCAAAGUGCUGGGAUUACAGGUGUGAGCCACCAUGCCCGGCCUAUUUUUUGUAUUUUUAGUAGAGGUUUCACCAUGUUGGCCAGGCUGGUCUCGAACUCCUGCCUCAGGUGAUCCACCCACCUCAGCCUCCCAAAAUGAUGGCAUUAUAGGCGUGAGCCACCACGCCCCGCCUGGUCUUCUGAUUUCAAAGCCUGCAUGUCCUUCCUCAAUGCCGUGCUGGGUUUUCAGAAAGCCAAGUGCCAGGCCAGGGCUUGCAGAGGGGCUGAAAUGAAGCCAGUCCAGAAGACAGAGCAGCCAGGACUCUCACUGAACAGAGCAGCCAGGACCUGGGCAGCAGCACUAUUGGGAUUUGAGGACUCUCCAGCCCGUUUGGAAGAGCCUAGGCUCUCUCUGCCCGGUUGCAUAGGUUCUCGUACUCAUGAUUGGGGGGUGCAAUGGGGAAGCUGGGCAUGGGAGAGGAUGACUCAUGCCCUGAAAGUCCAUGAGAGGCCUCCUCUCCCCACAUCUGCAGAAACCAGCCUGGACACCAAGUCUGUGUCAGAAGGCCACCUCAAGAGGAACAUCGUGGUGAAGACAGUGGAGAUGCGGGAUGGAGAGGUCAUUAAGGAGUCCAAGCAGGAGCACAAGGAUGUGAUGUGAGGCAGGACCCACCUGGUGGCCUCUGCCCCGUCUCAUGAGGGGCCCGAGCAGAAGCAGGAUAGUUGCUCCGCCUCUGCUGGCGCAUUUCCCCAGACCUGAGCUCCCCACCACCCCAGCUGCUCCCCUCCCUUCUCUGUCCCUAGGUCAGCUUGCUGCCCUAGGCUCUGUCAGUAUCAGGCCUGCCAGACGGCACCCACCCAGCACCCAGCAACUCCAACUAACAAGAAACUCACCCCCAAGGGGCAGUCGGGAGGGGCACGGCCAGCAGCUUGGGUUAGUAUGAGGAGGAAGGAGAGAAGGGGAGGAGGGCGGGGGAUAUCUACUACAUCGCCCUCCACAUCCCUGAUUCCUGUUGUUAUGGAAACUGUUGCCAGAUAUGGAGGUUCUCUCGGAGUAUCUGGGAACUGUGCCUUUGAGUUUCCUCAGGCUGCUGGAGGAAAACUGAGACUCAGACAGGAAAGG